AUUGAACGCUGGCGGCAGGCCUAACACAUGCAAGUCGGGCGGAGCGGCGGACGGGUGAGUAAUGUAUGGGGAUCUGCCUGAUGGAGGGGGAUAACUACUGGAAACGGUAGCUAAUACCGCAUACCAUCAGAUGAACCCAUAUGGGAUUAGCUUGUAGGUGAGGUAACGGCUCACCUAGGCGACGAUCCCUAGCUGGUCUGAGAGGAUGAUCAGUCACACUGGAACUGAGACACGGUCCAGACUCCUACGGGAGGCAGCAGUGGGGAAUAUUGGACAAUGGGCGAAAGCCUGAUCCAGCCAUGCCGCGUGUGUGAAGAAGGUCUUCGGAUUGUAAAGCACUUUAAGUUGGGAGGCGUUACCAACAGAAUAAGCACCGGCUAACUUCGUGCCAGCAGCCGCGGUAAUUC
rnacentral:rRNA from 1 species